rnacentral:rRNA from 1 species
GAUGAACGCUAGCUACAGGCUUAACACAUGCAAGUCGAGGGGAAACGAUAUUGGAAGCUUGCUUCCGAUAGGCGUCGACCGGCGCACGGGUGAGUAACGCGUAUCCAACCUGCCCACCACUUGGGGAUAACCUUGCGAAAGUAAGGCUAAUACCCAAUGAUAUCUCAAGAAGACAUCUGAAAGGGAUUAAAGAUUUAUCGGUGAUGGAUGGGGAUGCGUCUGAUUAGCUUGUUGGCGGGGUAACGGCCCACCAAGGCGACGAUCAGUAGGGGGUCUGAGAGGAAGGUCCCCCACAAUGGAACUGAGACACGGUCCAAACUCGUACGGGAGGAAGCAGUGAGGAAUAUUGGUCAAUGGGCGAGAGCCUGAACCAGCCAAGUAGCGUGCAGGAUGACGGCCCUAUGGGUUGUAAACUGCUUUUAUAAGGGAAUAAAGUGAGCCUCGUGAGGCUUUUUGCAUGUACCUUAUGAAUAAGGACCGGCUAAUUCCGUGCCAGCCGCCGCCGUAA